CAGCAAUUAGAUUGUUAUUAUUAUUAUUUUUAAAUGUGCUGAAUGUAUAAUGUAUGGUGAAUUAUUUCCCUAACAAAAACAAUAUGGAUUUAACACUUGUUUCCAAGUUUCAACUGAUCAGAUAAUGAACUAAUACUUCUCCUUCACUUCCCCCCACUUCUCAAUGGGUCUUGGAUUUGUGUGAUUUCUUCACUCGCCCCUUUCCCCCAAAGCAUUUCCGGCAGCCAUAGGCACAACAUUUAAAGACAAUGAAGACCACUGUCAACACAAUGGCCAGGAGGAAGCCAAUCACAUCCAAGGAGUGGUACUGAUACCAGGUGAGGUCAUGGGCGGCCGGGCGCAGGUGUGGUGCCCCCUUGUGCCUCAUCACGUAUUCCACCCAGAACACAGCCAGGAGCAGACACACACACAGAGGAAGAGAGGUGGGAAAGGCUGCAGGAACCAUGGUAAAUUCAAAGUCCAGAGCAAUCCAGUCGCUUUUACUGUAAGCUUUUCUAAUAGAGCUGGUUUAAAAGUAGAGGCACAAGACCUACU
rnacentral:lncRNA from 1 species